UAGAUGGAUGCUCGCUGGAUAGAGCGCUUAGCUGUUAACUAAGAGUUUGUAGGAUCAAGGCCUUCCCACCUAG
rnacentral:tRNA from 1 species